rnacentral:lncRNA from 1 species
GGAGCUAUUCAACCGGAAACUAGGGGCUGCGGGUAGAAGGACGCCAGGGCGAGGCCAGAAUGCAACCAGAACCCGGGCACUCGCCACCAACACCGCCCCUCAGGCCCAGCCCGUUCCGCCGCGGGGAUCACAAGGACCAGACCCGGGUCCACGCGGAGGCCACGUUCCAACCGUCUGCCCGCAGCGCGGGGGUCUUCCGGGCCGCCGCUGGAAGUCGGGACAGACGGUGAACCUGCACAGUCCCGCGGUGCCUCCCUCCGCCGCCGCUUACCAUUUUCCUUCCGGUCGUCAGCCGUCCGUUGCCGUAUGAUCUCUUGGGCCCCUUUAAGAAUGGCUCUGCAGCCACCUCCCUUCCUGCUUCGGCUGGCACACAGCUCAGUGUUCCCCACCUAACUACGCGGCCG